ACUAGGUCAUCAAGAGCUCCACUGUCCAUAUAACUAGGUCAUCAAGAGCUCCACUGCCCAUAUAACUAGGUCAUGAACAGCUCUGCUGUCCAUGAUCCAUACUCUUAACACUUACCGAAAUACCCAAUGAAAGGCUCAUGAUUCAAUGUGCUGGAAAUAUGUUUCCACAAUCUUUGCAAUUCAUGUUUUGAUUUUGUGCCUGUCUUCAUGCCAUUUCUUUCUAAAUUUCUAUUUUAUCAACAUAAUUUAACAACUUAUACAAUUUAUAUUCUCAAUUAGCAUUGUUUCAUAUUUAUAUAUAUAUCUACAUACUAUUAUACAUUUAUGUCAUUUUUCAACCCACAUUUUCUUUCCAAUUUCUUUGACAAUAUUUGAACAAAUUGUAUGAAAUAAAAUGUAUGCCCUGCAA